CCUCCAAAUAAAUUUUUAAGAGUUCACUUUUUGGAAGGGAUCGAACCAUCUCUAACGGCCAUAUGAAGUGGUUCCACUACCCUCAUUAGAGGUGUGUCGAACCCGCAGAAAUCGACCCGACCCGAUCCGACCAGAAUUUCAGCAAAAACCAAACGCUCCGCCACUGCCACCCAAAGCCGCCCAUCACCGACCAUUCGUCGCAGCAACCUCCAAGCACUGGUGACCCCGCCGACCCAACCUCCGGUGAUUUCAAAUCUGGUUUUCACCCAACUCGUUCACUGACUUGGGAUCGACAAUGAUGGACGGACUUCCCGGCAUUCAAAAUGAAAUCUGCCAUAUAUCCCUUCCCCUUUCAUUUUCACCUAAAAUCUCCCCAAAUCUCUCUCUCCAUCUCCAUCUUCCCUCUCCCCCCACCCACCGCCGACCACGAGCAGCAACGCCGACCCAAAGGUCGAGCACUGGUGACACAGCAACUCCAUCUCCGGCAACCAUGGAUUUCAAUUUUUUUUUUUUUUUCCAACCGUGCCACCUCUCUCUUCCACCGUGCUCCUCCCCCUCCCCCCUUCACCACCGACGAUUCAGGCCACCAAAAUAGGGUUUGUGCACAUCAAGACCCUUGGAUGUUCCCAAUACUCCUAAACGUUCCCAAUACUCAGCUUCCAACGAAAAGGUUAAGAAAUAAGGUAGUCCAAGGCUUCAAAACAUACCUGAUGAUCAAAAGCCUUUCUAUGGUAGUAAUAGAAAGAGGUUAUCAGAUGGCCUCGAAGAGAAAGUUCGCGAUUAAAGGACUAUAAAAGUGGUGUUCGGGGAAGACAUUCGUUGUAGAAGCGAUCUGGUGACGGGUCAUAACAGUUUUCGUGCUCAAGUUGAUAAUUCAGAUAAAAGUGUGGCCAGAGUGAAAAGGGCAUUUGAGGGUUUUCAACAGGAAGUGGAGAAGAGAUGCAAGAAGCCUAAGGAUAAGGAUAUGCAAGUUUCUAAUGGUUCAGAAAAUAAUCUAUUGACAGUUUUGGAGAAAGCACGACGCUGAAGUUGAAUUUGACAGUCUGAAAGUCUGGGCUCUACUUCAACUACUACAGUUCUGUAUGUGGUUCGGGCCCUUAAAUGUUACCAGGCUGGCCUUGCCAGUUGAUGCAUAUAUGUCAAUAUGACCUUUAUGUUUGACAUGCUUUAUACUCUGUUACACUAGGCUGUAGUUCCACUAAUUCACUAGUGUAUAUGGUUUGAGCCCUUAAACGUGAAUAGGCUAGCCACCCUAUUGAUCCACCCAUUUCAGUUUGACCUUUAUGUGCGAUAUGCAUCCUGCAUAGCAUUUCAGAUGAUUGCUAAAGUCUAUUAUUUAAAUAUUCUCAACCCUUGGUUUAUUAUAUCCCUUGCUGGAUUCAUGGUUUCCCCUUGGCAAUUUUGUUUUUUCAGUUCUUUAAUCUUCUAAUUUCGAUGCUGGCUCUUUUCAAUUGGCCAAUUCACGCAUUCAUAAUUCACACAAAGUAUUCGUCUGCCAAUCCUAAAUCACUCAAGGAUCAGUAUGGUUUCUAGUGAUUCUGUUCCACAGACAUAUUAAAGCAGUAGAUACUAAAGUUUUAUAGGCUUGAAAUGUUAGUUAAUGAGAAGGAUUGGAGCAGCCUAUUGGGUGGAGGUCACAGAGUUGGUGCAGUGGAAAAGGGGGAUCAAAAUAAGAGCCAUUGAGAAUGGCCCAUGUAAUAUCUUUAAUAAAUUGUCAAGUGCCUUCAAAGAUGGGAGAAAACUUGUACCUUGGUGAUUCUUGAUCUUUGUGGUUUUGUUUACAUUAAUGCUACAAAUGUUUGCAGAAUGGAAAUGCAUCAGAUGAUUAUUCAAGGAGAUGUUCCAAGCGACCUAAUCUGUAGGCAAUUUCUGAGGCAAGUUGCUGGCUUAUGUGUUAACAUAUGUGAAUUCAGAUAUGGAGGACGAUUUCAGUCCUGUGGAUGUGGAUGUGGAUGUGAACCUUGUUAAGAGCUUUCUUGAUUCCUUUUCUUCCCAACAAGGACCUCCCGAUCCUGCUUCCAAUUUGCUUGGGCUCAUGGGUGUACAGCUCCCACGCGAUGACAAGAAGGGCGAAUGAUUCUCUCAAUGGGCCUUGUCCAAUUUUGUAUUUUGUUUUCAGUUUAGUUGAGUGGUUUCAGGUGUAAUUUUUUGAAGAGAAAUAUGAUUUAUUGGUUUUGGGGCAUCAUGUGUAUUUCUUAGAAUUUUAAUUCCUAAAAGUACUCCUAAAAUUAGUUGUUGUUUGUUGAUGUUUUUGAGUUUAUAGUACACGUAAUUUCUAUUGGUGUUUGUAAUAGUUA